GAUGAACGCUAGCGGCAGGCCUAAUACAUGCAAGUCGAACGGGAUCUGAGGGUAGCUUGCUACCCGAUUUGAGAGUGGCGCACGGGCGCGUAACGCGUGAGCAACCUACCCAUAUCAGGGGGAUAGCCCGAAGAAAUUCGGCUUAACACCGCAUAAUAAUACGCUAACACAUGUUAAUGUAUUUAAAUAUUUAUAGGAUAUGGAUGGGCUCGCGUGACAUUAGCUAGUUGGUAAGGUAACGGCUUACCAAGGCGACGAUGUCUAGGGGCUCUGAGAGGAGAAUCCCCCACACGGGUACUGAGACACGGACCAGACUCCUACGGGAGGCAGCAGUAAGGAAUAUUGGUCAAUGGGCGCGAGCCUGAACCAGCCAUGCCGCGUGCAGGAUGACUGCCCUAUGGGUUGUAAACUGCUUUUGUUAGGGAAUAAACCUACUUAUGUAUAAGUAGCUGAAUGUACCUAAAGAAUAAGGAUCGGCUAACUCCGUGCCAGCCGCCGCGGUAA
rnacentral:rRNA from 1 species